rnacentral:rRNA from 1 species
AUUGAACGCUGGCGGCAGGCCUAACACAUGCAAGUCGAACGGUAACAGGAAGCAGCUUGCUGCUUCGCUGACGAGUGGCGGACGGGUGAGUAAUGUCUGGGAAGCUUCCUGAUGGAGGGGGAUAACUACUGGAAACGGUAGCUAAUACCGCAUAAUGUCGCAAGACCAAAGAGGGGGACCUUCGGGCCUCUUGCCAUCGGAUUUGCCCAGAUGGGAUUAGCUUGUUGGUGGGGUAACGGCUCACCAAGGCGACGAUCCCUAGCUGGUCUGAGAGGAUGACCAGCCACACUGGAACUGAGACACGGUCCAGACUCCUACGGGAGGCAGCAGUGGGGAAUAUUGCACAAUGGGCGCAAGCCUGAUGCAGCCAUGCCGCGUGUAUGAAGAAGGCCUUCGGGUUGUAAAGUACUUUCAGCGGGGAGGAAGGGAGUAAAGUUAAUACCUUUGCUCAUUGACGUUACCCGCAGAAGAAGCACCGGCUAACUCCGUG